AUUGAACGCUGGCGGCGUGCCUUACACAUGCAAGUCGAACGGUAACAGGUUAAGCUGACGAGUGGCGAACGGGUGAGUAAUAUAUCGGAACGUGCCCAGUCGUGGGGGAUAACUGCUCGAAAGAGCAGCUAAUACCGCAUACGACCUGAGGGUGAAAGCGGGGGAUCGCAAGACCUCGCGCGAUUGGAGCGGCCGAUAUCAGAUUAGGUAGUUGGUGGGGUAAAGGCCUACCAAGCCUACGAUCUGUAGCUGGUCUGAGAGGACGACCAGCCACACUGGGACUGAGGCACGGACCAGACUCCUACGGGAGGCAGCAGUGGGGAAUUUUGGACAAUGGACGCAAGUCUGAUCCAGCCAUGCCGCGUGCGGGAAGAAGGCCUUCGGGUUGUAAACCGCUUUUGUCAGGGAAUAAAAGGUCCUGGUUAAUACCUGGGACUCAUGACGGUACCUGAAGAAUAAGCACCGGCUAACUACGUGCCAGCAGCCGCAGUAAUAC
rnacentral:rRNA from 1 species